rnacentral:tRNA from 1 species
UCCGCGGUAGCUCAAUGGUAGAGCAUCCGGCUGUUAACCGGCAGGUUGUAGGUUCGAGUCCUACCCGCGGAGCCA